UACGGAGGGGGCUAGCGUUAUUCGGAAUUAUUGGGCGUAAAGGGCGUGUAGGCGGCCAAGCAUGUCCCAUGUGAAAGCCCUCGGCUCAACCGGGGAACUGCAUGGGAAACGGCAUGGCUUGAGUCCGGGAGAGGAUAGUGGAAUUCCCAGUGUAGCGGUGAAAUGCGUAGAUAUUGGGAGGAACACCGGUGGCGAAGGCGGCUAUCUGGACCGGUACUGACGCUGAGACGCGAAAGCCAGGGGAGCAAACGGG
rnacentral:rRNA from 1 species